GUAGGGCGCAAGCGUUGUCCGGAAUUAUUGGGCGUAAAGAGCUCGUAGGCGGUCCGUCGCGUCGGAAGUGAAAACCCGGGGCUUAACCCUGGGCCUGCUUUCGAUACGGGCGGACUAGAGUAUGGCAGGGGAGACUGGAAUUCCUGGUGUAGCGGUGAAAUGCGCAGAUAUCAGGAGGAACACCGGUGGCGAAGGCGGGUCUCUGGGCCAUCACUGACGCUGAGGAGCGAAAGCGUGGGGAGCGAACAGGAUUAGAUACCCUGGUAGUCCACGCCGUAAACGUUGGGCGCUAGGUGUGGGGGUCUUUCCACGACCUCUGUGCCGCAGCUAACGCAUUAAGCGCCCCGCCUGGGGAGUACGGCCGCAAGGCUAAA
rnacentral:rRNA from 1 species